rnacentral:rRNA from 1 species
UACGUAGGGUGCAAGCGUUGUCCGGAAUCAUUGGGCGUAAAGCGCGCGUAGGUGGUCAUGUAAGUCCGCUGUGAAAGUCAAAGGCUCAACCUUUGAAAGCCGGUGGAUACUGCAUGACUAGAGUACGGAAGAGGCGAGUGGAAUUCCUGGUGUAGCGGUGGAAUGCGCAGAUAUCAGGAGGAACACCGAUGGCGAAGGCAGAUCUCUGGGCCGUAACUGACGCUGAGGAGCGAAAGCAUGGGGAGCGAACAGG